AACGAACGCUGGCGGCAUGCCUAACACAUGCAAGUCGAACGAGACCUUCGGGUCUAGUGGCGCACGGGUGCGGAACGCGUGGGAAUCUGCCCUUGGGUUCGGAAUAACAGUUGGAAACGACUGCUAAUACCGGAUGAUGACGUAAGUCCAAAGAUUUAUCGCCCAAGGAUGAGCCCGCGUAGGAUUAGCUAGUUGGUGAGGUAAAGGCUCACCAAGGCGACGAUCCUUAGCUGGUCUGAGAGGAUGAUCAGCCACACUGGGACUGAGACACGGCCCAGACUCCUACGCGAGGCAGCAGUGGGGAAUAUUGGACGAUGGGCGAAAGCCUGAUCCAGCCAUGCCGGGUGAGUGAUGCAGGCCUUAGGGUUGUAAAGCUCUUUUACCCGGGAUGAUAAUGACAGUACCGGGAGAAUAAGCUCCGGCUAACUCCGUG
rnacentral:rRNA from 1 species